ACUCCUACGGGAGGCAGCAGUGGGGAAUAUUGCACAAUGGGGGAAACCCUGAUGCAGCCAUGCCGCGUGUGUGAAGAAGGCCUUCGGGUUGUAAAGCACUUUCAGUAGGGAGGAAGGUAGUGUAGUUAACACCUGCAUAUUUGAUCGUGAUCCUACAGAAGAAGCACCGGCUAACUCCGUGCCAGCAGCCGCGGUAAUACGGAGGGUGCGAGCGUUAAUCGGAAUUACU
rnacentral:rRNA from 1 species